CAUCUACUCCCUCCGUUCUGAAUUACUUGUCGCGGAUAUGGAUGUGUCUAGAUGUAUUUUAGUUUUAGAUACAUGGAUGUGUCUAGAUGUAUUUUAGUUUUAGAUACAUCCAUUUCUACGACGAGUAAUUUAGAACGGAGGGAGUAUAUA
rfam:Triticum aestivum genome assembly, contig: Triticum_aestivum_CS42_TGACv1_scaffold_195744_3AL